UACGUAUGUCGCAAGCGUUAUCCGGAUUUAUUGGGCGUAAAGCGCGUCUAGGCGGUUUGGUAAGUCUGAUGUGAAAAUGCGGGGCUCAACUCCGUAUUGCGUUGGAAACUGCCAAACUAGAGUACUGGAGAGGUAGGCGGAACUACAAGUGUAGAGGUGAAAUUCGUAGAUAUUUGUAGGAAUGCCGAUGGGGAAGCCAGCCUACUGGACAGAUACUGACGCUAAAGCGCGAAAGCGUGGGUAGCAAACAGG
rnacentral:rRNA from 2 species